CUGUUUGAUUGAAAUCACAAAGCGUUCUACUGCUUGAAAGAUAUACACAUUAUGAAUGUGGUUGGCGAUUUGGCAAAUUUGAGUUAAUGCACAAAGUGCUGAUUUAAAGUAUAUGCAUGCGCCUUACUAAGUGGGUUAGAUUUAAAUUAUGAAUGACUUCAUUGUGUUAUCAAUAUAAUUAAAUAGGCAACCAUGUGUUAUAUUUAUUUUUGGAUGAUGUAUGUAGAGAUAAUUAUGGUCCUACUUAGAAAUACAUAAAACUUAUCGUGAUUAUUUUCAAAUUGCUGCAAUGAAUUUCCCCACAAUUGUCUUGUAAUGAUUAUGACCGCAUUUGGAAUAAAAUAGUGGAUAUAGCAUAAAUUAUCCUCUAAUUAUACGCUACUGUCGCAUCAAUUAUCCUCUUAUCAAAGUGGUUGUCUAACUGCAGCGUUUAGUUUCAAUGCUUAUCUCACUAUAAAAAGAACUUUAUAACUAUUAUUUACACGGCCCUUUAAAUCUCAACUCACGGACGGUACUAUUCUUUGCGUCCCACCAUCAGCCGAGAGCGGAGAUUCUGGGAAGAUGUCCUUAUGGAUGAAAUAAGUGAAGUCUGUAUUGCAACAGUAAAUGUUUUAUAUUACUACAUUCAGGUGACACAAAAAUCAGAUGGAUUCUGAAGCAGUAUAUGCAUCCACCUGACAGAAAAGAUCACAGAUGAAAAGAUUAUGCAUUCAGACAAGCAGCAGAAUCAUUCUUACUGAAAAGGGCUGAAAUUGUGACAACUCCCUGCAAGAGUCCAGCUGAACAGAAAAUCCUUAAAGAAGGCAAAAUCAGCCACAUUAUCAACACUCAUUCCACUAUUAUACGUCACUUCACUGAACUGGAAUCAACGCCAAGUGCACUGUGGUUUGUCUGAAAAUGCACUAAUCUCACCACACCCACUGUCAUCAGACUUCUGCACAGAAAUCUGGUCGUUCUAUCUGCAUAUUGUGAAAGCUUUGUCGUCAUAAUGACCUCAGUAAUUUAAAUUCAUGUUUGGUUUUGGAACCUUCACUGAUUUUAUGAAUUGGCAAAAUAUUUUUCUUUCUUUGCAUUGGAGUAUCUACAUAAAUUAACUUGUGCUACUUUUUAAUUCUGUUCCCACAGUAACAUAUUCACUGACAUUUGAAAUUUUUGUGCCUGUGUGCAGAAUGUAAUAUUGUUGUCUUAAUUGCAUAAGUUUCAGCUAAUGACUCAGCUUCAUGUAGUUUUCCCAUCAGUUUCACACAUUUUGAGUGGUGCAGUAUUUAAACAGGCAAAGGUAAAAUCCGUACAAUUUUUUUUAUCAGUAUUUUUAGGCAGAUGCAUGCAAAUGAAGCGCUAUUGUUUUGAAAGCGUCCUGGUUAGUGAGCUGAGAAAGGAAACUGAAAUGUAAGUUCAACUGUAGAUUUAAUGAAGAAUUUAUUUAGAAUAUUCUGAGAAUGUGGAUCUUACCACUAUGUAGAGUAGUUGAAGCAGAAAGCAUUGUCAUGACAAUUGCAAAGUUGGUACAAUCACUCUGACUUCACCACUUCAACAACCCACAAUGAUCUCCCUCUCCAUGAUCUUUACGUUUCUUCCUCGUAUAAGGGAUGAGAGAUGUAAUUUGUUUUUGUCUGUUCAUCAUCUGCCAUUGAUCUCACCUAGCUGUUAAGGUUACUCCACUAUUUGCUGAAUGUUGAUGGUAAACAGUACUUUCACUCAGUGAGGGGGAAAUCAUUGCAAUGGAAAACAUGCUUAGUACAAUGCACUCUUAGGAAAUGUAACUCUUCCUCUUACCUGAUAACAUCAUUGCAGCAUUGUGUAGCCAACGAGGGGUAGACAACAGAUACAGCUUUUUCAAUGUACUCCACAUUCCAAAAACAAUUUGAAAGAAAUAAUAUACACCAGUAGUGUAUACAGCAGGAACUGAGAUCAAUCUACUUGCAUUCUGCUUCCCAAACUACUAAAAUAGAUGAAUGUAGAGUCAUAGAGUGUGACUCUAUGACUCUAUGACUUUAUUUUGAUCUAUUUUAAUAUAGUAAAAUAGAUGAAAAUCUUUCCUAAUUGAAUUAUGCUGCUGUAAUCAAUAUAUUAAAAAUUUAAAAUGACUCAAAAAAUUAUGAUUUUAUAAAUCAUAUUUGUCAAACAAAUUAUUUGCAGCAUAAGUCAGAUAUGUAUCAAAACAUUAAUAAAAACAUAGUGUAAUACAUACUUUUAACCACCAUAUUAAAAUUAUGCAGGUUUAUAUGUUGUAACAGAUUUUAAACAUUUUCAGCCAGUUAUUUGUUGGGUCUGAUGCAUCACUGCAACAUGUUAUCCAAUCCUCUGUUACAGUUCUUGUCAGCUUUGCAGAUAUUUACAUGUCUUCCCAGAUGAAAGAAAAGUAAUGUUAUACACUGGAGGCUGCUUGCUACUGUUGUAGGCUGAGUCAGUUUGCUCAGUUCUCUGUAGCACAAUCACAAUAAAAUGAGGUCCAUGUACCAUUAACAGCUCAUUCCCAUUAACUUACUUAAGGAUUUGCAUAUGUGUUUCAACUAGUUUAUGCAACAUACCAACAGAGCUAUUAACUCUCAAUUGUAUGGCAAGAUGCGGAAGGAGAGAGUGGAACAGAAAUGCUGCUGAUUUUCUGAUGUAUUUAAUAUGUUCACAGGGAAAACGGUGCAGCAAGCUUGGAACUGAAUCAACAAAUUGUUGUUUGAUAAAUAAUGCUUAGUUAAUUUUUUUAAUCCAAAUAGUAAAAUAGAAAUAUUUCACUGAUAUUAAAUUUGUAACAUGUUAAUUAUGAUUGAUAAUGAUAUAAAAGCUCUCUGCAUUUUUUAGAAUUGUGCCAAUAUUUAGAGCUUUCAAUUAUGAGGACUGGUUACACAAACGUGGCUUGUAUUCUCUUGAGUCUGAUCUGAUCAAUGAGCUUGAAGUGUUAAAAGCAAAUACAGUAUGGUCUACAGGUAGAUAAAUUGUGUCCUGUGAUGGUUGAACCAAGAAGAAGGGAACAUAAACUUAAAUUUAGUACUAAGCCAUUUGAGAACAAAAUCAGGAAAGGCUAUUUAUGAGACAAUGAUAGAGUAUAUAACAUGGCAUGUUAGAAUUUUGGAAUUCUCUGCUCUGUGAAUACUGGGAUAUUUGGAGUUUUCAAUUGACCUUGGUUAAGAAAGGCUAUGGAACAAUAUGGAUUUAAGGCAGGUAAAUGCAUUUGAAUAGAAGAUCAGCCAAGUCCUAAUAGCAAUUGGGGCCGGAAUGGUCUACUCUUUUACCUAUGAUCCAAAAACACAUCAAUAUUUCAUAUAUGUAUAGUUUAGGGUUUUCCAGUACAGAGGUACAAAUUAGAAUGCACCAUUCUGGAUAUCUGAUAACUGGAAAGAUAAAACUCUUGAGUUUGAAUGGGAUCAAAAUAGGACAAGGGACCGAGAAAAAUACAAGCCAUUGACAAAGAUCAUUGAGGUAUUGAAGCCAUGUUACACACUCUAUCAUUGUCUCAACUAAAUUAAUUUAUUAACAUAACGAAAGUAUUCCUUUUCAUUACAUUCAUGACCUCUUCAAUUGAGAUUGCUACUUUUCAUCAUUGAAUUUUUUAACCUAUGACUACUAAACUUGCAUUGUAACUAGUUAGUUGGCUUAUCUUCUUCAUGUUAGGUGACUCAGAGAAUUUGUUUGAACUAAUAAAGCCAUGUAACAAUUAAAUUAA